GUAAGAGAGAUUAAACUGUUCAGAUCAGAGGCUGGAAACUAACAAGGCGCUGGACACGCAUUAUCCUUUUGUUCCUCACAGUUGUCCUCAGACCAGCACUGUUAGGCACUUUGCCAACCUUGGAGGGGUUAAGAGUGAGCCUCUGCUUCUCACCCUGCCUGGGAUCUGGACAUACCCAUUUGUUUUCAGGGCCUUGCCAUCCCUGAACCUCCCCUGCUCCCCUUUCUCUUAGAAGAAUGUGUCUUCGGAGUGGUGUGUGGGCUGGGUUAAGGUCAGCUGGCACCCUGGCCCCAAGAGCUGGGGAAGUGGCUGAGAACAACAGGGUACGGAGCAAAGCCCCCGCGUGUGAAGCCAGAAGACCACCAUUAACUCACCUUCUCACCAGAGGCCUCAGUUUUGUCCUCUCAAAUGGGAGGGUUGAUAUAAAUUAUUUCUAAUUGGGGUCCGCCUCUGGGAGUCUCCAAUUUAAGAAUCUCCACUCCUUGGUCUUCAAUUGGUUUUAGGAGCCCAGGGCCCAGACUGAAGUUGAUGUUGCCACUGUGAGCUUCAGGCUUGGGCCAGCAGGUCAG
rnacentral:lncRNA from 10 species